GACGAAGGAUGCAAGCGUUAUCCGGAUUCAUUGGGUUUAAAGGGAGCGUAGGCGGACUUGUAAGUCAGUGGUGAAAUCUGUGGGCUUAACCCACAAACUGCCAUUGAUACUGCAGGUCUAGAGUACAGUUGCCGUUGGCGGAAUAUGACAUGUAGUGGUGAAAUACUUAGAUAUGUCAUAGAACACCGAUUGCGAAGGCAGCUGACGAAGCUGUAACUGACGCUGAGGCUCGAAAGUGCGGGGAUCAAACAGG
rnacentral:rRNA from 1 species